rnacentral:pre_miRNA from 1 species
UUUGAGGGGAAUGUUGUCUGGCUCGAGGUGCAUGCAGAAACCUUGAUCAGGUUUGAUCUAUAGAUUGAUCUCGGACCAGGCUUCAUUCCCCUCAAG